CCUACGGGAGGCUGCAGUGGGGAAUAUUGCACAAUGGGGGAAACCCUGAUGCAGCGACGCCGCGUGAGUGAAGAAGUAAUUCGUUAUGUAAAGCUCUAUCAGCAGGGAAGAAAAUGACGGUACCUGAGUAAGAAGCCCCCGCUAACUACGUGCCAGCAGCCGCGGUAAUACGUAGGGGGCAAGCGUUAUCCGGAUUUACUGGGUGGAAAGGGAGCGUAGACGGCAGUGCAAGUCUGGAGUGAAAGGCGGGGGCUCAACCCCCGGACUGCUCUGGAAACUGUACGGCUGGAGUGCAGGAGAGGUAAGUGGAAUUCCUAGUGUAGCGGUGAAAUGCGUAGAUAUUAGGAGGAACACCAGUGGCGAAGGCGGCUUACUGGACUGUAACUGACGUUGAGGCUCGAAAGCGUGGGGAGCAAACAGGAUUAGAUACCCGUGUAGUC
rnacentral:rRNA from 1 species